UAAUAUGCUUGGCUUCUAUCAACCUACUGGAUUCUGCAUCUUUGAUGGUAGCUUAUUCUAGCAAACUAAUUUGCUGUAACAUCAAGGCAUCUAAUAAUAAAUAAAGCUUUUACUGUUUAAUUUUCUUUUGAGUGGUUUUUACCUCCCUCCCCCCCCCAAAGCCCCAGAAUAAUAUCCAAACCUACAUAAUGCAACGGAAGCAAUCACAUACAGCCCCCCCCCCCCCCCCCCUCUUCCCUUUUUUUCUUGUUUUAUUUUGUGCUUAAAGUUAAUCUGUAAUGUUAGAUCCAUCUUGCAAGCUGUGUUCCACGACAGCCAGGGCUAUUUUAUAAAAUGAUAAUUUCUACUA
rnacentral:lncRNA from 1 species